GACGAACGCUGGCGGCGUGCUUAACACAUGCAAGUCGAGGGGGGCUCGGGGGCAACUCCGGGUCACCGGCGAACGGGUGCGUAACACGUGAGCGACCUGCCCGACUGCGGGGGAUAGCCGGCCCAACGGCCGGGUAAUACCGCAUACGACAUCUGGGGCGCAUGCGCCGGAUGUGAAACCGAUUCAGGGCGGUUGGAGGGGCUCGCGGCCUAUCAGCUAGUUGGCGAGGUAACGGCUCACCAAGGCGACGACGGGUAGCUGGUCUGAGAGGAUGGCCAGCCACA
rnacentral:rRNA from 1 species